rnacentral:rRNA from 1 species
GAUGAACGCUGGCGGCGUGCCUAAUACAUGCAAGUCGAGCGAACAGACGAGGAGCUUGCUCCUCUGACGUUAGCGGCGGACGGGUGAGUAACACGUGGAUAACCUACCUAUAAGACUGGGAUAACUUCGGGAAACCGGAGCUAAUACCGGAUAAUAUAUUGAACCGCAUGGUUCAAUAGUGAAAGACGGUUUUGCUGUCACUUAUAGAUGUAUCCGCGCCGCAUUAGCUAGUUGGUAAGGUAACGGCUUACCAAGGCAACGAUGCGUAGCCGACCUGAGAGGGUGAUCGGCCACACUGGAACUGAGACACGGUCCAGAAUCCUACGGGAGGCAGCAGUAGGGAAUCUUCCGCAAUGGGCGAAAGCCUGACGGAGCAACGCCGCGUGAGUGAUGAAGGUCUUCGGAUCGUAAAACUCUGUUAUUAGGGAAGAACAAAUGUGUAAGUAACUAUGCACGUCUUGACGGUACCUAAUCAGAAAGCCACGGCUAACUACGUG